rnacentral:rRNA from 1 species
UGGGGAAUAUUGCACAAUGGGGGAAACCCUGAUGCAGCGACGCCGCGUGAACGAAGAAGGUCUUCGUAUCGUAAAGUUCUGUCCUAUGGGAAGAUAAUGACAGUACCAUAGAAGAAAGCUCCGGCUAAAUACGUGCCAGCAGCCGCGGUAAUACGUAUGGAGCGAGCGUUGUCCGGAAUUAUUGGGCGUAAAGGGUACGCAGGCGGUUUAAUAAGUCGAAUGUUAAAGAUCGGGGCUCAACCCCGUAAAGCAUUGGAAACUGAUAAACUUGAGUAGUGGAGAGGAAAGUGGAAUUCCUAGUGUAGUGGUGAAAUACGUAGAUAUUAGGAGGAAUACCAGUAGCGAAGGCGACUUUCUGGACACAAACUGACGCUGAGGUACGAAAGCGGGGGGAGCAAACAGG